rnacentral:lncRNA from 1 species
CGUGGGGAUGUGUGGAGUGAUGUCUAUACAUGGUGCCUCUGCUGGCUGAAACCGUGUUGGUGGACUCACAGCCCUGAAUCCCUCAGGCACUCAGAGAGCAACCUGUGUCUUUUACAGAGUAAAGAACUCUGUAAAGUAAAGGCUCCUCACACCAAAGCUACAAGUCCUGUAAAAGCAGGUGUGUUUGUUUUGCAGAAAAGAGGCCACAUGCCAUGGGGCUUUGCCGUGCAUGCUCCAGACAGAUCCGUGCUGUUGGGCCUUUCAUGUCCUCUCCUGGAGACUGACCUGGUUAUAGUGCUCUUUGGAAAAAUGACAGGGUUUCUGUCCAGCCUGUGCUGACUCAUCUUCCCUCUCUGCAACCCCAGGAACAUCUGGCAGACUCACCUCACCCUGAGCAGUGACAUCUAUGUUGGUGGAAAAGUUGAAUACCAGUUACAGCAGAAGCCAGGGAGCAGUCCCCGGGAUCUCCUGAGCUAUACUCCUCAGAGUCAAAUAAACGCCAGGACUCUGGAGUCCCCAGCUGCCUUUCUGUAUCCACAGAUGCUUCAACUAGCUUAGGGAUUCUUCACAUUUUUGGGCUGCAGCCUGAGGAUGAGGCUAUUACUGUGAGAUAGAGCAUGAUGGCACUGAGGCAUACACAGUGUUCCAGACUCUAAGGGAAGCAAGAAAAAAACCUCUCUCCUCACUCCCAACCAGGUACAUUCACCCUGCUGGUGGCUUUGAUGAAGUCUAGGUUAGGAAGUGACUUUUGUUGUUCCAUCUCCAACCAACACCUAAUUUUCUUCAAACCAGUAAAUCUCAAAAUGUCGUAACUUUUUAUUCAGUUCAACUUUUACUUUGCCAACAUAUACUUUAUCACCAUGUUAUCAAAGACAAAAAUUAUUUGAUUAGGGAUUUAAAAAUGGGCUGGGAGCAGUGGCACUACCCUCCUGCAGUGUCCAUUGAAUUCUUUCCUUAACUGGCAGGACCUUUACUAAGCCUGAGCCCUGCACCUCCCAUUGUCCUUGGGAACUGUGGGUGAGAGACAAGACACUGCACCUCAGUUUCCUCACUUGUAAAAGGAGACAUCACCUUCCUAGAGAGUUGUCUAAAUGUUAGGUUUGUAGACAAUGCCUGGCACAUCAGAGACACUAAGUGACAACUGGGUGUCAUGAUCAUCAUCAGUGCUGCUUCUGUGCUCACCUCCUGAUUCUGAGAAUCAUGGAGAGAGGGCCUAACCAUGUCCUAUUUCCUCCCUUAGGCAGGGG